UCUUCGUCCUCAUUAUUCUCACCAAAGUACUUUUUCCUAAUCAUACGAUGUUUAAUAGGAAAGAUAGGUUCUACAUCCAUUUCAAGUGCAACACUUUUAGCCACAUUCAUACUUGAUAUAAAACCUUCUUCUCUAUACUUUUCAAAAAAUGAUAAUACACCUUCCAAUUGCUUCGUAGUAGCAUCGAUGCACAUAAACUUAGAUUGUAACUUUUUGCUUACCAU
rnacentral:lncRNA from 1 species